rnacentral:lncRNA from 1 species
CGAAUCUGUUUUGGAGAAGAUAUACCGCAAACACAAAUGUCCUCCCAUAAACGAAGAGUCAAGGCAGAGACUUUCUUCGAUUCCAGAAGAUUUAGCUUUCGAUUUGCUCAGGAAAGCUUUUAAUUCUCCGGGGAUAUCCAACCUCGACCGCUUCAUCGCCUCUAAGCUUACCCACGCCGUUACUGUUACUAGCUCUCCGACGAAGUCUGCUCCUUGUUCCUCUCAAGGUCAGUAAUAGGAAAGCAGCAGAGAGUCUUUUUUAUGUGUAUAGUUUUACUUUGACUGUGACUGUUACUGAUUGCAGAAGAGAUAUCUAUUCAUUCUGAAGCUCCUUCUUUGAGAAGACAACAAGUCAAUGGAGGAUCUUCUCUUCACAUUCCUCCUCCUCAGCUCUUACUAGCUUUGAGUGAACUUGAAUUCAACAAGGCCUUUCUCUUGCUUACCUACAUUCCUGGGUAUGCCUCCAAAGUUUUCUGACUUUUUUAACCUCUUUUUUCCCUUGAGUUGGUUCUGGUAACAGUUACCCUUUUUUUUGUUUGAUGUUAAACAGGAAAGAUCUGAGUCAGGUUACAAUAACUGCUGAUGAGAUUAGAGGAUGGAAGGAUUUGUCUAUGGUUGCUUAUGAAGCUGCCGUUUGGGACAGUUUGGGACAUAAAUUUUGUUCCCCAACAGACCGUAGAUUGGUAUUUUUUUAUGUUUGCUCUAUUUGGUAUUUUACCUAUAUCUCAUGAUUGAUAUGAAUUCCUAAAGGUGAAUUAACAAGCAAGAGAGACAUAUUUUGUACUGUUUGGGUCUUUAUAUGCUUCCUCUGUUUCUGCAGUCACUGGAAUGUGAUAAUGAGAAGACUAGCUACUACCAAUGUCAUGUUGCUUCGGAUGGCAGUUACACAUUCAAGGUUCAGUCCAGUCUUCAACUGCUAUCUUCCGUGUGUACUUUUGUGUUGAAGCAAUUAUUUUGCAAGUCGCUAUCUUAUGUCUAUUUUACAUCAUAGACUCGUUCUACUGGGUGUACUUAUAGAGAGAGACAUUGUACUUUUAGAGAUAUUGUGCUCAGAGUCACAGGGCUGCUAUUCCACAUUUCUUGGUAUCCUUGACUUGAUCUGCUUAUACUAAUGGAGACACUGUUUUCACAGGGCCCUCUUCUUGAACCCACUGGAACACACCUGCAUAAGGUCUUGGGUGAUGCUAAUGUUUUGACGGUCAAAUUUGAGGAUGUCCCGAGAAACUCAUCAACCGACCGUUACACUACAUACCGAAGGAUUGCCAAGAAUGGUAUCAUGCUUGGGUUACGUCGUUAUCAAUUUUUUGGUGGGUCUAUUUUCUCUUGAUUUACUUAUCAUUCAUGUCAACACUUUUUCACUAUUUUAACAUAUUAUUUAUUUGGAGCUUGUUAUUAUAACACUCUGUUGAACAGUUUUCAAAGAUGGUGGAAAAGAAGAAAAGAAGAAAGACUUUUCUACAAAGGGAGUGAAAUGCUACUUCAUACGCACAGACUCCACAUCUGCGAAUGAUAUGGGAAGUCCCUACAUCUUCUCCGGGAAGUCAGUUUAUGAAGCUCGCAUGCAUUUUAUGCAUGUCCACACAUUGCCAUCUUUGGCCAACUACAUGGCAAGGUACCUCAGUUUCUUUUAUAAGUCUCUACUGUUUUUAUCUUUGAGCUUCUGUAGACGUCACUGUGUGUUUUUGUUGAUGCUUCAGGUUUUCAUUGAUUCUAUCAAAGACUAAGAAGCUUGAAGUUGACAUGACUGGGAUCACCUUCGAGAAAAUCGAUGAUAUACACUGCCAUGUACUUUGUCGACUCCUUUGUCCUACAGGAACUGUGUCUCUAUCUAAAGUAGCUUAUACUAGUCGUGUUCAGUCUGUGCUUUAAUCUUUUUCCAUCUCUUCCAAUUGCAGGAUCAAAACAAUAAUGAUGUUCUUGAUAAGAAUGGGAAACCAUGUAUACAUUCAGAUGGCACUGGCUACAUCUCUGAAGAUCUUGCUCGGAUGUGUCCAGUAAACAUAUUAAAAGGAAAAUGUCUCAGAAAUGAUAAUGUUCAAACCCCUGUUCAAGACCCGGUAUGUAUACUAUAGUGAAAACCCCUCUUCAUGCUCCAUUAUAUACUUGUCCAUUACUGAACUCACAAUUACUUUUCCAAACAGCCUCUUCUGAUCCAGUUUCGGAUGUUUUUUGAUGGCUAUGCUGUUAAGGGAACUUUUCUCUUAAACAAGAAAGUAAGUCUGCUCUCUUUUUUUCCCAUUACAAAAUUUGUUUGCGAGCUAUUCCUUAUGUUCCGCCGUAUUUUGGCAGCUUCCUCCUCGGACUGUCCAGGUUCGACCUUCUAUGAUCAAGGUCUCUAAAGAUCCAGCUUUGUCAGAUUUUAGCACUUUUGAUUCCCUAGAGGUUGUCACAACAAGGUAUAUGUUUAUUUGAUACAUCUCUCUUUUAAUGUUAUCCUAGUGACAUCUAGUUGUUUCCAUCAUCCAGUAAUCCACCUAAAAGAACAAAGUUAUCAAAAAACUUGGUUGCGCUGCUUAGCUAUGGAGGAAUCCCUGAUGAAUUCUUUCUGGAUAUAUUGCUCAACACCCUGGAAGAGUACAAAACCAUCUUCAACAACAAACGUGCUGCUCUUAAAGGUUCGUAAUCCUUUAGUCCCUAGAAACUUAUGCUGUAACUAAUGAUUCAUCUUCUAAGAAGCCAUUUUAUUUGAUGCAGCUGCCCUUAACUAUGGGGAUAUGGACGAUCAGAACGCUGCACAAAUGAUUUUGGUUGGUAUCCCACUUGACGAACCACACUUGAAGGAUCAUUUGUCUAUUCUUUCAAACACAGAGAAGAAUGAUCUCAGAGCAGGAAAGCUUCCUGUGAGUGAAUCAUACUACCUCAUGGGUACUGUUGAUCCCACCGGAGAGUUGAAGGAAGAUGAAGUCUGUGUCAUCCUGUAUGAUUGCUAAUCACUUUUGAGUCUUUACAUGAUAAAGAAUAGAUGAAGUCUUGUUCAUUUCUGCACUACUUUCUUUGUUGUGGGUUUGUGUAGUGAGUCUGGCCAAAUCUCAGGAAAUGUUCUAGUUUACAGGAAUCCUGGACUACAUUUUGGGGACAUACAUGUACUUAAGGCUACUUAUGUUAAGGCCUUGGAGGGGUAUGUAGGAAACUCCAAGUAUGGUGUCUUCUUUCCUCAGAAAGGUCCAAGAUCUUUGGGAGAUGAGAUUGCAGGUGGUGAUUUUGAUGGUGAUUUGUAUUUCAUCUCCAGAAAUCCAGAGGUAAAUAACACCUUCGUUAGAAAGUAAGGAUAUGAUUUGCUGUAACCUGACUCUCUUUGGUUUGCUAUCUGUUGUAGCUACUUGAACACUUCAAACCAAGUGAGCCGUGGGUGAGUUUGACUCCUCCUACUAAAGGCAACUCUGCUAGAAAGCCAAGCCAUCUUUCACCAGCGGAGCUGGAGGAAGAGCUUUUCGAUAUGUUCUUGAAGGCAAGAUUUAAUGCUAGGUACUCUUAACUUAAGCUCUAGAUUCACAACUGUGUUUUGGAUCAAUCUUUGGGAUUUAUGUUUCUUUUCUCUUGGGUUUACAGCAAUGUUGUAGGGAUGGCUGCUGAUAGCUGGUUAACAAUAAUGGACCGCUUCCUCGUGCUAGGAGAUGAGAACGCUGAGGAAAAAGCUGAAAUGAAGAAGAAAAUGUUAAAGUUGAUUGAUAUAUACUAUGAUGCUCUUGAUGCACCAAAGAAAGGUGCUAAGAUCUUUCUCCCAGACGAGCUGAGGCCUGACAUUUUGUUUAUCUUCAGUCGUAGUCAUCAGUCAAACUUUACGAUAAAAACCGCGGGAAGUUCAUUUUUAUCAAAGAAACCGUAAUAAACGUUUUGAGUCAAAGAACAGUCCAAAGAGAUCUCAAACGCAGCUCGAAGCCCACUUACGAUUUCUUAACUGAAAACCCGUAAGUCUUACGAUGGUUUAUGCUUGGUUCAUAAGGCAAGAUAAAUGUCAAGUUUUCGUGGAUAAAUGUAAAGUUUCCGAAGAUAAUCACGAAGAUCGAAAAAAAUGGAAUAUCUCCAUUUUUGAGCUAUGACGGCUUAAGGGUAGAAAGGAAAAGGCGCAAACUGACAUAAGAGCAAGUAUAUAAGGAGUCCUAGGCGAGAGACAGAAGCAGAGGCAAUACACAGCAAACUUAGCACUUAGAGCAAUUUAGGCAAUUUUCCGUUUUUGUUAUUCGAGCUGCGACUCAAUUAGGUUUAGCAGCCUUAGGGUUUUAGAACUAGGAAUCUCGCCGACAGCUCUCGUAGUCCAGUCUCUUACCUUGUUGUAACGCUCAAACGCGAAUUCGAAAUAAGAUCACAUUUGCUCUCUUUUCGAUUUCUUAUCUUUUAUCGUUUUUAUUUCGUGUUCUGAUUGCUUGGCGUGUGGCAUUAGCAGAUAUCCGGGACCUCUGGGAAAUUAGGGUUCUCCUACUUUCCUUAUUUAAACAGAAAUCGACAGUGUGAAUUUCGGUUCCCACAAUUAACACUUUUGAUCAAACGUGAGAAGAUCUAACAAGCAGCUCAUCUGAAGUUAUAUUAAUGAUUUAUUUGAUCAAACGUGAGAAGAUCUAACAAGCAGCUCAUCUGAAGUUAUAUUAAUGAUUUAUUUGAUCUAAAAAUUUGUCAAAAGUGUUGGAAGAAGCAGUUGUUCCAAGGACAUACAUUCAUAAAACAAUUGUUAGAUCUUCUCACGUUGUGUGUGUCCUGGGAACAACUGAACACUUUUGACAAAUUCUUCAUCCAGCAUAACAUUUUUGUGAAACACAUUAAUAAGUUACAACAUAAAUAUGAACACAACAAACCCAAAAAUCAAGCAAAUAACUUUUGAGAGUACAAUACAUAUAACUCUGCUGCUUUGUGUGGCUAACCAUACACCACUCUUCAUAUUAUGAGAUGUCGCGCAACCGGAAGUCCUGAAAAGCGUAACUUUAAAUAAGCAUUUAUCAUUUAGAGGCUGAGAUAGACACAUCAAAAAAAAGGAAAAUGAUAAUUUUUAAUGAGGUGGGUAGUCCCUUGAUGAUUUCCUGUCAACUACAUACACACACACACUUCUGUUAAGAAAGGGAACACUUGAGAAGAAUCAAAAAAUCAAAAAAUCAAAAAAUGCAAAUGGACCUGUGUUGUUCCGUGAGGUAAACAGCAGAAUACAGCAUCCACUGUAGAAAAGCCUGCAUCCUCUACGGAGAUCAGCCUAGGUAGUAGUUUCGGAGGGCAGGAAGAAAGGUUUUAAUCAUUGAUCACUUAUAUAUACAGAAAAUGAUUUAUAACACUAAAAAAGUUUUUGUCACAAAUAUACUCUCUAAAAAUAAAAAUGACCAAAAUAGCACUUAAUGUUUUAUCAAAAGAGAUAAAUAUACACCUAUACUCCAAUGGUAAAUUAAUUUAGACAUUAGGGUUUAGAGUUAAGAGGUAAAGUUUAUGAUUUAGGAUUUAGGGUUUAGGGUUUAGGGUUUAGGGUUUAGAGUUUAUGGUUUAGGGUUUAGAGUUUAGGGGUGGGGUUUAGGGUUUAGGGUUUAGAAUUAAGGGAUGUGAUUUAGGAUUUAGGGUUUAGGAUUUAGGAUUUAGGGUUUAGGGUUUAGGGUUUAGGGUUUAGGGUUUAGGGUUGGGGAGUGGGGUUUUGGGAUAAGAUUUCAAAUUUUGAAAAUUAAAAAAAAAUUAAAUUUUUCAAAAGAUAAAAUGUUAUUUUGCUCAUUUUAGUUUUUGAGAACUAUUUUUGUGACAUAAACUUAUAAAAGUGCUAUUUUGGAGAUUUGCCCCUUAUAUAUAUGCCAUCACUGAGCCGUAGAUACAUAGCUCUUGAAAUUUUUGUUAGAGAUGGAAAUCACUGAUACUUGAGCUCUUAGGUGAGGUGAGGGAAGACGCUUUCCAUUGACUGGCCAGCUUUUCUAUCAGCAGUCAUGAGAGUGACACCGAAAUGCGGAUGAUUUGCAAGAAGCCAUAGGAUCUGCUGCCAUUCAAUUGAAAAGGGGAUUCCAAGUCAUUAUUUGUUAAAAUUUGGUAAUGCAUUUGGAAUCAAAACUAAGAUACCUCAUUUAUUCUUUUUAAUGUGAUGCCAAAAAACCUUAAAACCGAUGACGUUGAAGGUAUUCUUUUUUUUCAAUGAGCAAAUAAGGGAUUCAAAGUCAUUUGUUAAAAUGUGCUAAUGCAUUUGGAAUCAAAACUAACAUUCUUUUUAAUGUAAUGUUAAAGAACCUUUAAACCCAAUAACUAUAAGGUAUUUCAUUUCCUAUAUUCAUGAGACAAUUUACCGCAAGUACCACCACCCUUUUGCCGGACGAAGUUUGCUAAACUUUUCACAUGUUCAAUACUUAAAGCUAAAUCAGAAGGGCCAAUGCCUAAAAAGCUACAGACUUGCAACAAUGAUGCAUACCAAUAAUGUUCUGAUUCGUUUUAAAAAACCAACGAGAUCACUUGAAAAAAGCUAAAUUCCGAAUGAACUUGUAAAAAUGUAAACUGCACAUUUUGUAUGAUGAUCAGAUUGCAGGAAAAAAAAACUUGAAAUAAGUAAACAACAACUGAGCUAAAAAAAGAAUCGAAAGUGCGUUUUCAUUUAGGAACAGAGGAUGUUAAGAAUUUUAGAGAAGUAAUUACCUUAGAAUCAGCAGGCAUCCUCGUCCGAAGCAAACUGAGCUCAAACUCGACGCACCACUCAUAUAUCUUGGAUUCAAUUCACAACACAAGAGAACAAAAGAAAAGCAUAGACCUUUUGCUUUUGGAUAUCUUUACUAAUGUUAAAAGAAAAGGAAUUUAGACUUUCUAUUAUAUCGAAAACUCCUUAAGACCUUUGGAGCGUCACGGAGAAUUUAAGCGAGUGCGGUUGCGUAAGUAAACGCGGCUUACUUCAAAAAGCGGCAGAGGGAAAAUGUGGCUUUAUGGUAAUUUAUGAAUCGAAAGAUAUGGUAUACUUGUCAAUUACAUGUGUAAAAACGGCUCUAAUGAGAGAGAGAGAGAUGUACAAAAUCAUCAUCCCUCAAAAUCAAAUCUAUCAAAUGUCAAAUAAAAUCUAAUAAAAACGGACAGAGAGAGAAUAAAAAAGAUGCAACCUUUCUUCUUCUUUGAGUUGUCAGAUCACAUCAUCACUCUCUUUCUUCGUCAUCAUCGUCAAAACUCUCUGCAUAAAACUGUUUGCACUGGGGGUGUGAGAGUGCUGCUAGAGAGAGUUUAAAGAUGCAACCUUUUUGCUCAUCAUCAUAUCACUGUAGUCUCUUUUAAUUAUUUUUUGUUUUGUUUUAAUAACUGUCUGCAUAAACAAAACAGUCCUUAGUGUUGGUUUGGAAGAAAGAUGAUAACUUGGCAGCGAUCAGUGAUCGUUCUUUCGAGUAGGCUCGAAUCUGUUUUGGAGAAGAUAUACCGCAAACACAAAUGUCCUCCCAUAAACGAAGAGUCAAGGCAGAGACUUUCUUCGAUUCCAGAAGAUUUAGCUUUCGAUUUGCUCAGGAAAGCUUUUAAUUCUCCGGGGAUAUCCAACCUCGACCGCUUCAUCGCCUCUAAGCUUACCCACGCCGUUACUGUUACUAGCUCUCCGACGAAGUCUGC